GGUCUUCAUAACUCCAGUCAGUCCUUGGCCUCUGGGUUGAGAAAUCUAACCUGAUGUGCAAUUGCAGGUUCCCACCAGCAUGUCGCUAACAAUUUCCUGGGCCUUAUCAAAAAAAAAAAAAAGCCUUUGAAAAGUGGAAACAAAGCGUCAGACUCCAUUGUUGUUCUACUUUCAC